rnacentral:rRNA from 1 species
GACGUAGGGGGCCAGCGUUGUUCGGAAUUACUGGGUGUAAAGGGUUCGUAGGCGGUGCGGCAAGUUGGGAGUGAAAUCUCUGGGCUUAACCCAGAGGCUGCUUCCAAAACUGCUGUGCUUGAGUGUGGGAGAGGCGCGUGGAAUUGCAGGUGUAGCGGUGAAAUGCGUAGAUAUCAGGAGGAACACCAAUGGCGAAGGCAGCUCGCUGGAACGGUACUGACGCUGAGGCGCGAAAGCGUGGGGAGCAAACAGG